CUGCUGCCUCCCGUAGGAGUCUGGUCCGUGUCUCAGUACCAGUGUGGGGGACCUUCCUCUCAGAACCCCUACGCAUCGUCGCCUCGGUGGGCCGUUACCCCGCCUACUGCCUAAUGCGCCGCAUGCCCAUCCCUGUCCGGCCGAAGCCUUUCCUGCCUCCGGGAUGCCCCGGUGGCAUGUACGCGGGUUUAGCCCGCCUUUCGGCGGGUUGUCCCCCUGACAGGGGCAGGUUGCAUACGUGUUACUCACCCGUGCGCCGGUCGCCGGCGGAGAAAG
rnacentral:rRNA from 1 species